rnacentral:rRNA from 1 species
UACAGAGGUCUCAAGCGUUGUUCGGAUUCAUUGGGCGUAAAGCGCGCGCAGGCGGUGCGGGCGUCGGUGCUGAAAUCGGGCCGCUUAACGGCCCGCGGCGUGCCGAUACGCCCGUACUGGAGGGUGGGCGAGGGUGGUGGAAUUGCCGGUGUAGUGGUGAAAUGCGUAGAGAUCGGCAGGAACACCCGUGGCGAAAGCGGCCACCUAGCCCAUACCUGACGCUGAUGCGCGACAGCGUGGGAGCGAACUGG